UACGGGGGGUGCGAGCGUUGUCCGGAAUCACUGGGCGUAAAGGGCGCGUAGGCGGUUAUUUAAGUUGGAUGUGAAAGCCCUCGGCUUAACUGAGGAAGUGCAUCCAAAACUGAAUAGCUAGAGUACGAAAGAGGGUCGCGGAAUUCCCGGUGUAGAGGUGAAAUUCGUAGAUAUCGGGAGGAACACCGGUGGCGAAGGCGGCGACCUGGGUCGAGACUGACGCUGAGGCGCGAAAGCGUGGGGAGCAAACGGG
rnacentral:rRNA from 1 species